rnacentral:rRNA from 1 species
UUGCAAACUGGAGAUGGCGACCGGCGCACGGGUGAGUAACACGCUAUCCAACCUGCCGAUAACUCGGGGAUAGCCUUUCGAAAGAAAGAUUAAUACCCGAUGGUAUAAUCANACCGCAUGGUCUUGUUAUUAAAGAAUUUCGGUUAUCGAUGGGGAUGCGUUCCAUUAGGCAGUUGGUGAGGUAACGGCUCACCAAACCUUCGAUGGAUAGGGGUUCUGAGAGGAAGGUCCCCCACAUUGGAACUGAGACACGGUCCAAACUCNUACGGGAGGCAGCAGUGAGGAAUAUUGGUCAAUGGGCGCAGGCCUGAACCAGCCAAGUAGCGUGAAGGAUGACUGCCCUAUGGGUUGUAAACUUCUUUUAUAUGGGAAUAAAGUUUUCCACGUGUGGAAUUUUGUAUGUANCCAUAUGAAUAAAGGAUCGGGCUAACUCCGGUGCCAGCAGCCGCGGUAAUANCGGAGGAUUCCGAGCGUUAUUCCGGAUUUUAUUGGGUUUAAANGGGAGCGUAGGUGGACAGUUAAGUCAGUUGUGAAAAGUUUGCGGCUCAACCGUAAAAUUGCAGUUGAUUACUGGCUGUCUUGAGUACCAGUAGAGGUGGGCGGAAUUCGUGGUGUAGCGGUGAAAUGCUUAGAUAUCACGAAGAACUCCGAUUGCGAAGGCAGCUCACUGGACUGCAACUGACACUGAUGCUCGAAAGUGUGGGUAUCAAACAGGAUUAGAUACCCUGGUAGUCCACACAGUAAACGAUGAAUACUCGCUGUUUGCGAUAUACAGUAAGCGGCCAAGCGAAAGCAUUAAGUAUUCCACCUGGGGAGUACGCCGGCAACGGUGAAACUCAAAGGAAUUGACGGGGGCCCGCACAAGCGGAGGAACAUGUGGUUUAAUUCGAUGAUACGCGAGGAACCUUACCCGGGCUUAAAUUGCAUUUGAAUAUAUUUGGAAACAGUAUAGCCGUAANGGCAAUUGUGAAGGUGCUGCAUGGUUGUCUUCAGCUUGUGCCGUGAGGUUGUCGGCUUAAGUGCCCAUAACGAGCCGCAACCCUUAUUUUUUGUUACUAACAGGUCAUGCUGAGGACUCUAGAGAGACUGCCGUCGUAAGAUGUGAGGAAGGUGGGGAUGACGUCAAAUCAGCACGGCCCUUACGUCCGGGGCUACACACGUGUUACAAUGGGGGGUACAGAAGGCAGCUACCUGGUGACAGGAUGCUAAUCCCAAAAGCCUCUCUCAGUUCGGAUCGAAGUCUGCAACCCGACUUCGUGAAGCUGGAUUCGCUAGUAAUCGCGCAUCAGCCAUGGCGCGGUGAAUACGUUCCCGGGCCUUGUACACACCGCCCGUCAAGCCAUGAAAGCCGGGGGUACCUGAAGUACGUAACCGCAAGAGCUCCUAGG